GACGAACGCUGGCGGCGUGCUUAACACAUGCAAGUCGAACGAAGAGCGAUGGAAGCUUGCUUCUAUCAAUCUUAGUGGCGAACGGGUGAGUAACGCGUAAUCAACCUGCCCUUCAGAGGGGGACAACAGUUGGAAACGACUGCUAAUACCGCAUACGAUCUAACCUCGGCAUCGAGGAAAGAUGAAAGGUGGCCUCUAUGUAUAAGCUAUCACUGAAGGAGGGGAUUGCGUCUGAUUAGCUAGUUGGAGGGGUAACGGCCCACCAAGGCGAUGAUCAGUAGCCGGUCUGAGAGGAUGAACGGCCACAUUGGGACUGAGACACGGCCCAGACUCCUACGGGAGGCAGCAGUGGGGAAUCUUCCGCAAUGGACGAAAGUCUGACGGAGCAACGCCGCGUGAGGGAUGACAGCCUUCGGGUUGUAAAGCUCUGUUAAUCGGGACGAAAGGCCUUCUUGCGAAUAGUGAGAAGGAUUGACGGUACCGGAAUAGAAAGCCACGGCUAACUACGUG
rnacentral:rRNA from 1 species